rnacentral:rRNA from 1 species
UACGGGGGGGGGCAAGCGUUGUUCGGAAUUACUGGGCGUAAAGGGCUCGUAGGUGGCCAACUAAGUCGGACGUGAAAUCCCUCGGCUUAACCGGGGAACUGCGUCUGAUACUGGAUGGCUUGAGUUCGGGAGAGGGAUGCGGAAUUCCAGGUGUAGCGGUGAAAUGCGUAGAGAUCGUAAGGAAGACCAGUGGCGAAGGCGGGUCUCUGGACAGUUCCUGACACUGAGGCACGAAGGCCAGGGGAGCAAACGGG